rnacentral:rRNA from 1 species
UACGAAGGGGGCUAGCGUUGUUCGGAAUCACUGGGCGUAAAGCGCACGUAGGCGGAUUGUUAAGUCGGGGGUGAAAUCCCGGGGCUCAACCUCGGAACUGCCUUUGAUACUGCAAAUCUCGAGUCCGGAAGAGGUGAGUGGAAUUCCUAGUGUAGAGGUGAAAUUCGUAGAUAUUAGGAAGAACACCAGUGGCGAAGGCGGCUCACUGGUCCGGUACUGACGCUGAGGUGCGAAAGCGUGGGGAGCAAACAGG